rfam:Mesocricetus auratus contig030460, whole genome shotgun sequence.
GCGCGCGCGCGCGCGCGCGCGCGAAAACUGAAAUGAUACAGAGAAGAUUAGCAUGGCCCCUGUACAAGGAUGAUUGCAAAUUCAUGAGGCGAUCCAUAUUUUA